UUGCGCUUCCUGUUGUUUUUCUCCUCGAUCGAUCUACAUUUUCUUUCUGGUUCGUUACCUUUCUCAGAUCCCCAAUCUUCUCAUUUUUCUACAAACCAUUUCAACUCAACAAGGAAAAAAGGAUAACAAGAAAGGAAAAAGACGGGAACUCACCUACAAACACCGUACGCUGCGACUUCUGCAAGGUGAUCACGGGGAAGAGGGAGAGGACGGAACCCUAAUGAAAGGGAUCGAACUCCUAUAAAUAAAGAUGAACCCUAAGACGAACGAAUCAAUUUUUGAGAUCUAGAACACCGAUCAAAAUAAUCUCCAACAUCUCUCGAUUCUAAUUCGGAAGAAGAAGCAGAAACAACAGUAACUCCAGGUUUCUUCCCCCAUUCUGCAAGACUGCAAAAGAGUGGAGCUUAUAAGACCUUCAAACAUCCCCAGACAGUUUAUAUCCACCCAAGCUCUAGUAUAGCCCAGAUCUUCUGAUGGAGCAGCUUAUCCAGUCAAUUAGGUACCAUUAUCUAUGUCAACCAGGGAUAAGGAAAACAUAAUGGAUCACUUGUAAUAUUGAACCUGACAUACAACAUCUCUCUAUUGAUAGAAGAAAGCUUCCUAAUAGUUUUGUUGUGAGACUCUUCAAGAGAUCCCCAUUAUUGCUACAGAAACUGUCUUCGUCUGUUGAUGCGACAAGUGAAAUUGGUGGGAAAAAUGUUGAACUCAGAAGUUACUAUUCUGAAGAGGUUUCCUACAUCCAUCAAA